rnacentral:rRNA from 1 species
AGAGUUUGAUCCUGGCUCAGAAUCAACGCUGGCGGCGUGCCUAACACAUGCAAGUCGAACGCGAAAGUGGAGCAAUCCAUGAGUAGAGUGGCAAACGGGUGAGUAACGCGUGGGCGACCUACCUUCGAGUGGGGGAUAACAUUCCGAAAGGAGUGCUAAUACCGCAUGACAUCCCGUGUUUGGAUACACGGAGAUCAAAGCCGGGGAUCGCAAGACCUGGCGCUUGAAGAGGGGCCUGCGUCCGAUUAGCUAGUUGGUGGGGUCACGGCUCACCAAGGCUCCGAUCGGUAUCCGGCCUGAGAGGGCGGACGGACACACUGGAACUGAGACACGGUCCAGACUCCUACGGGAGGCAGCAGUGGGGAAUUGUUCGCAAUGGGCGAAAGCCUGACGACGCAACGCCGCGUGGAGGAUGAAGACCUUCGGGUCGUAAACUCCUUUCGACCGAGACGAAUUCCCUCCGACCUAACACGUUGGAGGGGUGACAGUAUCGAGGGAAGAAGCCCCGGCUAACUCUGUGCCAGCAGCCGCGGUAAUACAGGGGGGGCAAGCGUUGUUCGGAAUUACUGGGCGUAAAGGGUUUGUAGGUGGCUCGCUAAGUCAGACGUGAAAUCCCUCAGCUUAACUGGGGAACUGCGUCUGAUACUGGAAAGCUUGAGUGCAGGAGAGGAACGCGGAAUUCCAGGUGUAGCGGUGAAAUGCGUAAAUAUCUGGAGGAACACCGGUGGCGAAGGCGGCGUUCUGGACUGCAACUGACACUGAUAAACGAAAGCCAGGGGAGCAAACGG